GACGAACCUUGCUAACGUUAUUCGGAAUUACUGGGCUUAAAGGGUGCGUAGGCGGUGCGGAAAGUUGGGUGUGAAAUCCCUCGGCUCAACCGAGGAACUGCGCCCAAAACUACCGUGCUCGAGGGAGAUAGAGGUGAGCGGAACUUAGGGUGGAGCGGUGAAAUGCGUUGAUAUCCUAAGGAACACCGGUGGCGAAAGCGGCUCACUGGAUCUCUUCUGACGCUGAGGCACGAAAGCUAGGGUAGCGAACGGG
rnacentral:rRNA from 1 species